rnacentral:rRNA from 1 species
UCAUCGCCUGUUUUACAAAAACAUGUCUGUUUGUAGUGUUAAAAAGUCUUGCCUGCCCACUGAAAUUUUAAAGGGCUGCGGUAAUUUGACCGUGCGAAGGUAGCAUAAUCAAUAGUCUUUUAAUUGAUGACUGGAAUGAACGGCGUUACGAGAAAUAAGCUGUCUUUUAGGCACAAAUUGAAUUUUACUUUCAAGUGAAAAGGCUUGAAUAGAAUUAAGGGACGAUAAGACCCUAUAAAACUUAACAUAAUAUCUCUUUUGGUAAUUUGAAGUGAAGUUAAAAUUGAAGUUAUACUGUUUGGUUGGGGCGACCUAGAUAUAAUUAARUAGCUGUCUAAAAAUAAAAAUAAUAAUAAUUUGUUUUGUGAACCUUUAUUAAGGAUUAAAAAAUUAAGUUACUUUAGGGAUAACAGCGUAAUUUUUUCAGAGAGUUCUUAUCGAAGAAAGUAGUUGCGACCUCGAUGUUGAAUUAAAAUUUCUUUUAAAUGAAGCAGUUUAAAUAGUGGGUCUGUUCGACCUUUAAAAUUUUACAUGAUUUGAGUUCAAACCGGUGUGAGCCAGGUUGGUUUCUAUCUCUGAUUUCUAUCUA